rnacentral:piRNA from 1 species
UGCAUAUACAGACCAGAGAACAAUUGA